AGCAGCCGCGGUAAUUCCAGCUCCAAUAGCGUAUAUUAAAGUUGUUGCAGUUAAAAAGCUCGUAGUUGAAUUUCGGGAUCAAUAUAUCGGUCGUGCCUUUGGUACGUACUGGUAUCAUUGAUUUCUCCUUUCUGACGAAUCAUGAUGUCAUUAAUUUGGUGUUAUGAGGAGUUAGGACUGUUACUUUGAAAAAAUUAGAGUGUUUAAAGCAGGCAUUAGCUUGAAUACAUUAGCAUGGAAUAAUGAAAUAGGACGUUUGACCCUAUUUUGUUGGUUUUUAGGAUCGACGUAAUGAUUAAUAGGGAUAGUUGGGGGCAUUAGUAUUCAAUUGUCAGAGGUGAAAUUCUUGGAUUUAUUGAAGACUAACUACUGCGAAAGCAUUUGCCAAGGAUGUUUUCAUUAAUCAAGAACGAAAGUUAGGGGAUCGAAGACGAUCAGAUACCGUCGUAGUCUUAACCAUAAACUAUGCCGACUAGGGAUCGGAUGAUGUUAAUUUUAUAAUGACUCAUUCGGCGCCUUACG
rnacentral:rRNA from 1 species